rnacentral:rRNA from 1 species
GUCUGCAGCCAUGCCACCCUGAACAAGCCCGAUGUCUGAUCUCGGAAGCUAAGCAGGGUCGGGCCUGGUUAGUACUUGGAUGGGAGACCACCUAGGAAGAUCAGGUGCUAUAGGCA